AGGAGUGUAUCUUAGUGUUAGAGCAUUUGCCUAACAUGCACAAGGCCCUGGGUUCAAUUCCCAGAACUGCAA
rnacentral:tRNA from 1 species